UGCCUCUCAUGUGCUGGUAUCAAAGGUGU
rnacentral:piRNA from 1 species